rnacentral:rRNA from 1 species
GAAUCCUGAAUGUUGUAAGUUAAAUAGUUAACUUUGAAACUGCGAAUGGCUCAUUAUAUCAGUUAUAGUUUAUUUGAUGAAAAAUACUAAUUGCUAAACCGUAGUAAUUCUAGAGCUAAUACAUGUAUAAAGUCUUGUAGACUGCAUUUAUUAGAAUGAAAACCAUAGGUUUCGGCCUAUUCGUGAGUAAUAAUAACUAAUCAUAUCGUAUGCUUAAGUAACGAUGUGUCUUUCAAGUUUCUGCCCUAUCAGCUUUCGAUGGUAGUGUAUUGGACUACCAUGGCAGUAACGGGUAACGAAGAAUAA